rnacentral:rRNA from 1 species
AGCAGCCGCGGUAAUUCCAGCUCCAAUAGCGUAUAUUAAAGUUGUUGCAGUUAAAAAGCUCGUAGUUGAAUUUCGGGACCAAUAUGUCGGUCGUGCUUCGGUACGUACUUGCAUUAUUGGUUUCUCCCUUCUGAAGAACCAUGAUGUCAUUAAUUUGGUGUCUUGGGGAAUCAGGACUGUUACUUUGAAAAAAUUAGAGUGUUUAAAGCAGGCAUACGCUUGAAUACAUUAGCAUGGAAUAAUGAAAUAGGACGUUUGAUUCUAUUUUGUUGGUUUCUAGGAUCGACGUAAUGAUUAAUAGGGAUAGUUGGGGGCAUUAGUAUUCAAUUGUCAGAGGUGAAAUUCUUGGAUUUAUUGAAGACUAACUACUGCGAAAGCAUUUGCCAAGGAUGUUUUCAUUAAUCAAGAACGAAAGUUAGAGGAUCGAAGACGAUCAGAUACCGUCGUAGUCUUAACCAUAAACUAUGCCGAUAGGAUCGGAUGAUGUUAUUUUGAUGACUCAUUC